rnacentral:rRNA from 1 species
GACGAGCUCUCCAAACGUUAUUCGGUAUCACUGGGCUUAAAGAGUUCGUAGGCGGUCUGGUAGGUGAGGUGUGAAAUCCCCCGGCUCAACCGGGGAACUGCGCUUCAAACCACCAGACUUGAGGGAGACAGAGGUGGGCGGAACAGAUGGUGGAGCGGUGAAAUGCGUUGAUAUCAUCUGGAACACCGGUGGCGAAAGCGGCCCACUGGGUCUUUUCUG